AGAACGAACGCUGGCGGCAGGCUUAACACAUGCAAGUCGAGCGCAUCCUUCGGGGUGAGCGGCAGACGGGUGAGUAACGCGUGGGGAUAUGCCCAGAGGUGUGGAAUAACUCAGGGAAACUUGAGCUAAUACCGCAUGAGCCCUUCGGGGGAAAGAUUUAUCGCCUUUGGAUUAACCCGCGUCAGAUUAGCUAGUUGGUAGGGUAAUGGCCUACCAAGGCGACGAUCUGUAGCUGGUCUGAGAGGAUGACCAGCCACACUGGGACUGAGACACGGCCCAGACUCCUACGGGAGGCAGCAGUGGGGAAUAUUGGACAAUGGGCGCAAGCCUGAUCCAGCCAUGCCGCGUGGAUGAUGAAGGCCUUAGGUUGUAAAGUCCUUUAACGGGAAGAUAAUGACGGUACCCGUAGAAUAAGCCCGGCUAACUUCGCGCCAGCAGCCGC
rnacentral:rRNA from 1 species